UGGGGAAUAUUGGACAAUGGGCGAAAGCCUGAUCCAGCCAUGCCGCGUGUGUGAAGAAGGUCUUCGGAUUGUAAAGCACUUUAAGUUGGAAGGAAGGGCAUUAACCUAAUACGUUAGUGUUUUGACGUUACCGACAGAAUAAACACCGGCUAACUCUGUGCCAGCAGCCGCGGUAAUACAGAGGGUGCAAGCGUUAAUCGGAAUUACUGGGCGUAAAGCGCGCGUAGGUGGUGUGUUAAGUUGGAUGUGAAAUCCCCGGGCUCAACCUGGGAACUGCAUUCAAAACUGACUGACUAGAGUAUGGUAGAGGGUGGUGGAAUUUCCUGUGUAGCGGUGAAAUGCGUAGAUAUAGGAAGGAACACCAGUGGCGAAGGCGACCACCUGGACUAAUACUGACACUGAGGUGCGAAAGCGUGGGGAGCAAACA
rnacentral:rRNA from 1 species